UGUAGAUGUGUAGACCUCAUUGUGACAUCUCAGCCAAGACAUAAAGGAACUCUGGGAAUUAGGCAUGUGGCUCUGUGGCAGAAGAUUUUCCAGGUGGAGAGAACUGCCAGUGAGGGUAGAGAAUGUGAGAGAUGGCGAGGAGAAGCAGUAGGUAGUGAGGCAAGAGAUGUUGCUAGAAGAGAAUAUUGUGGUACAACUGUUGAAGAAUUGGAGGAAGAAUUUGUGAUAAACACAGGAAAAGAACUAAGCAAAAAAGAAAAAAACAAGUCAAGAGCCAAUUAUUAACCCAAGGAAAAGGCAAUCUUCAAAUGUCAGCCCGUCAGCUGCAAAGAGUGGCUUCACUGGACAUGUUUUUCCAGGGCAGCCUACAUCGUACGACUGAUAUAAAGGCCUUGCCACAUUCACCCAGCACAGGACAACUCUGAUGAGUCAUUUCAGCUCCACACCUUCCCUGUGGGGUUCAUGAGGCUGUACGGGUGCACUACAGGUCAACUUCAGCCUCUGCCUAAUUCCUCUUCCUCUUCCUCCUUUCUACAGCCGUUGGACCCAAGGGAACUCUCUAAAAAACAUACUGAACUCAACAUUUCUAUCACAAAAUCUGCUUCCUAGAGAAAGCUAUCUGUGACACCUUUGACCUCACAAUUCCACUUCUAGGGGUUUACUCCACAGACUCACACAAAGG
rnacentral:lncRNA from 1 species